rnacentral:sRNA from 1 species
CAUUAAUCGCGAUGAGGAGGGGAAAGUCAGCGUAUCUUUGUGUAUUUGUAUUUCCAGGGGCUUGUAUUUCUGCAAGAAUCAUCGACUGAAGAAUGUUCUCGCUCGAAUUCGAGCUUGUUUCAUAUCCGCGCGCAGACAAAGGGUAGUAGGGAAAUGGAUUCAAAAUCAGUGACCCACAAACAAGGUCCAGAGUUCAUGAAAUUGACUGGAUCUAAGGAUUUGAUGCUGAAUAGAUUUUCUCUCUUUUCUGCGGCAUAGGCUUACAUUCAGGAUUUCAAUCCUAUUGAGACUAUGUACUUUCUUUAUCUUUGAGGAUAGUACACGGCUAAUCACUAACUUGUGCAAAGGAU